UACGUAGGGUGCAAGCGUUAUCCGGAAUUAUUGGGCGUAAAGAGCUCGUAGGCGGUCUGUCGCGUCGGCUGUGAAAACCCGGGGCUCAACCCCGGGCCUGCAGUCGAUACGGGCAGACUAGAGUGCGGUAGGGGAGACUGGAAUUCCUGGUGUAGCGGUGAAAUGCGCAGAUAUCAGGAGGAACACCGGUGGCGAAGGCGGAUCUCUGGGCCGUAACUGACGCUGAGGAGCGAAAGCAUGGGGAGCGAACAGG
rnacentral:rRNA from 1 species